CAACGAUGGAAGAUCGAUAGACUUAAUAUUUGGUGAGGAGAUUUAGAUUCAAGUCUCUUCUAAUAGUCACAUACAUCUGAUGUAGAUGACUAGUUUGGUUUAAGUUAGCAUAUUAUCUCAUGUCUGACCAACCUAAUUAGCAUGGGUGAACUCGAGUCAACAAGUAAUCUAAUACAAAACAUAAUCUCCCAAAAUGGCC
rnacentral:lncRNA from 1 species